UGAACGCUGGCGGCAUGCUUUACACAUGCAAGUCGAACGGUAACAGGGACUUCGGUCCGCUGACGAGUGGCGAACGGGUGAGUAAUGCGUCGGAACGUGCCAAGUAGUGGGGGAUAACGCAUCGAAAGGUGUGCUAAUACCGCAUACGCUCUGAGGAGGAAAGCAGGGGAUCUUAGGACCUUGCGCUAUUUGAGCGGCCGACGUCUGAUUAGCUAGUUGGUGGGGUAAAGGCCUACCAAGGCGACGAUCAGUAGCUGGUCUGAGAGGAUGAUCAGCCACACUGGAACUGAGACACGGUCCAGACUCCUACGGGAGGCAGCAGUGGGGAAUUUUGGACAAUGGGCGCAAGCCUGAUCCAGCCAUGCCGCGUGAGUGAAGAAGG
rnacentral:rRNA from 1 species